rnacentral:lncRNA from 1 species
CCCAGGUCUGCCUAUCAAGCAGGUGUUCCAUGAGCUGAGCCAGCAGACCCACGGCAUCACCCGGCUGGGCCCCUACUCUCUGGACAAAGACAGCCUCUACCUUAACGGUUACAACGAACCUGGUCCAGAUGAGCCUCCUACAACUCCCAAGCCAGCCACCAUAUUCCUGCCUCCUCUGUCAGAAGCCACAACAGGUAUCUGGGGUCCAUUUUUCCUCCUCAAAGAUUAGACUGGCAGUUCAAUCAGACACCUGCCCUCGUGGAGC